rnacentral:rRNA from 1 species
UACGUAGGUGACCAGCGUUGUCCGGAUUUACUGGGCGUAAAGAGCGCGCAGGCGGUCGUUCAAGUCGAGUGUGAAAGCCCCCGGCUCAACUGGGGAGGGUCACUCGAUACUGAUCGACUUGAAGGCAGGAGAGGGAAGCGGAAUUCCCGGUGUAGUGGUGAAAUGCGUAGAUAUUGGGAGGAACACCAAUGGCGAAGGCGGCUUCCUGGCCUGUUCUUGACGCUGAGGCGCGAAAGCUAGGGGAGCAAACGGG